rnacentral:rRNA from 1 species
GAUAGUACCUUACUACUUGGAUAACCGUGGUAAUUCUAGAGCUAAUACAUGCUAAAAACCCCAACUUCGGAAGGGGUGUAUUUAUUAGAUAAAAAACCAACGCCCUUCGGGGCUUCUUGGUGAUUCAUGAUAACUUUACGGAUCGCAUGGCCUUGCGCCGGCGACGGUUCAUUCAAAUUUCUGCCCUAUCAACUUUCGAUGGUAAGGUAUUGGCUUACCAUGGUUUCAACGGGUAACGGGGAAUUAGGGUUCGAUUCCGGAGAGGGAGCCUGAGAAACGGCUACCACAUCCAAGGAAGGCAGCAGGCGCGCAAAUUACCCAAUCCCGACACGGGGAGGUAGUGACAAUAAAUACUGAUACAGGGCUCUUUUGGGUCUUGUAAUUGGAAUGAGUACAAUUUAAACCUCUUAACGAGGAACAAUUGGAGGGCAAGUCUGGUGCCAGCAGCCGCGGUAAUUCCAGCUCCAAUAGCGUAUAUUAAAGUUGUUGCAGUUAAAAAGCUCGUAGUUGAAACUUGGGCCUGGCUGGCAGGUCCGCCUCACCGCGUGUACUUGUCCGGCCGGGCCUUCCUUCUGGAGAACCUCAUGCCCUUCACUGGGCGUGUUGGGGACCAGGACUUUUACUUUGAAAAAAUUAGAGUGUUCAAAGCAGGCCUUUGCUCGAAUACGUUAGCAUGGAAUAAUAGAAUAGGACGUGCGGUCCUAUUUUGUUGGUUUCUAGGACCGCCGUAAUGAUUAAUAGGGACAGUCGGGGGCAUCAGUAUUCAAUUGUCAGAGGUGAAAUUCUUGGAUUUAUUGAAGACUAACUACUGCGAAAGCAUUUGCCAAGGAUGUUUUCAUUAAUCAGUGAACGAAAGUWAGGGGAUCGAAGACGAUCAGAUACCGUCGUAGUCUUAACCGUAAACUAUGCCGACUAGGGAUCGGCGAUGUUCUUUUUCUGACUCGCUC